rnacentral:rRNA from 1 species
UACGUAGGGUGCAAGCGUUGUCCGGAAUUAUUGGGCGUAAAGAGCUCGUAGGCGGUUUGUCGCGUCUGCUGUGAAAACUGGAGGCUCAACCUCCAGCCUGCAGUGGGUACGGGCAGACUAGAGUGCGGUAGGGGAGAUUGGAAUUCCUGGUGUAGCGGUGGAAUGCGCAGAUAUCGGGAGGAAUACCUAUGGCGAAAGCAGGCUUCUGGGCUAUCACUGACGCUGAUCCGCGAAAGCUAGGGGAGCAAACAGG